AGUGAACGCUGGCGGUAGGCCUAACACAUGCAAGUCGAACGGCAGCACAGUAAGAGCUUGCUCUUACGGGUGGCGAGUGGCGGACGGGUGUGGAAUACAUCGGAAUCUACUUUUUCGUGGGGGAUAACGUAGGGAAACUUACGCUAAUACCGCAUACGACCUACGGGUGAAAGCAGGGGAUCUUCGGACCUUGCGCGAUCGAAUGAGCCGAUGUCGGAUUAGCUAGUUGGCGGGGUAAAGGCCCACCAAGGCGACGAUCCGUAGCUGGUCUGAGAGGAUGAUCAGCCACACUGGAACUGAGACACGGUCCAGACUCCUACGGGAGGCAGCAGUGGGGAAUAUUGGACAAUGGGCGUAAGCCUGAUCCAGCCAUACCGCGUGGGUGAAGAAGGCCUUCGGGUUGUAAAGCCCUUUUGUUGGGAAAGAAAAGCAGCAGGUUAAUACCCCGCUGUUCUGACGGUACCCAAAGAAUAAGCACCGGCUAACUUCGUG
rnacentral:rRNA from 1 species